CAGUCGCCGCGGUAAUACGUAGGUGGCAAGCGUUGUCCGGAAUUAUUGGGCGUAAAGCGCGCGCAGGCGGUUUCUUAAGUCUGAUGUGAAAGCCCCCGGCUCAACCGGGGAGGGUCAUUGGAAACUGGGAAACUUGAGUGCAGAAGAGGAGAGUGGAACUCCACGUGUAGCGGUGAAAUGCGUAGAGAUGUGGAGGAACACCAGUGGCGAAGGCGACUCUCUGGUCUGUAACUGACGCUGAGGAGCGAAAGCGUGGGGAGCGAACAGGAUUAGAUACCCCUGUAGUCCCUGUCUCUUAUAC
rnacentral:rRNA from 1 species